rnacentral:rRNA from 1 species
UACAGAGGAGCCAAGCGUUGUCCGGAUUGACUGGGCGUAAAGCGCACGCAGGCGGAUGCGCGCGUGGGGUGUGAAAUCUGGCCGCUUAACGGCCAGGCGCCAUCCCAUACGGCGCGUCUGGAGUGAUGCAGAGGUCGGUGGAAUUGCCGGUGUAGUGGUGAAAUGCGUAGAGAUCGGCGGGAACACCCAGGGGGAAACCAGCCGACUGGGCAUCUACUGACGCUGAGGUGCGAGAGCGUGGGGAGCGAACCGG